AAUGAGUCCAAGAACUACAUUUCCCAGAGUGCACCAGCAGCAGCAAUCUGGCUGCUUGUCACCUGUUGUCAUUUUCACUGAUUUGGAGCACCUGUUAAAAACCUGGAGUUCCUCAGUCAUUCAGACAAACAAACUUCACUGAAAAGACGCUCCAAGUUCACUUGUAGGUUCAGUCCAAAGACACCAAUGCACUGAACUGAAGUGAGGUGUGCAGAGGAUCAAUAACUCGGACAAUCACUCAACCUGAUGUGUGCAUGACCUCAGAAACCCGAGAGCUUGAUCCCUGUAAGAGCUGCUGAACUCCUGGAGCAGCGGUCCUGAUGUUAUGCUGACUGUCAAGCCCUCAUUUGGAAGAAUAACCCUGAGUGAAGCGGCACGUUGUUCUCUGUGUGUGGCGUUUAUCGCCCGCGGCUGUGUUUGUUUUGCCGUCUGCGAUUGUCGCCCGUUCAAGGCCAAGCCAAUUAAAAAGUG